AAGAGCCUCGUGCGGGAAACCUGCAUGCGGGGUUCUGUGAGGGGCCGGCGGGGUCUUUAAAGUGCCCCGCCCGGUCUACUCGAC
rnacentral:ncRNA from 1 species